GAUGAACGCUGGCGGCGUGCCUAAUACAUGCAAGUCGAGCGAAGCGGGGACGGGUGAGUAACACGUGGAUAACCUCCUAUAAGACUGGGAUAACUUCGGGAAACCGGAGCUAAACCGGAUACUUAUACAUGGAUCCGCUCUGCAUUAGCUAGUUGGUCAGGUAACGGCUUACCAAGGCAACGAUGCAUAGCCGACCUGAGAGGGUGACCGGCCACACUGGAACUGAGACACGGUCCAGACUCCUACGGGAGGCAGCAGUAGGGAAUAUUGCGCAAUGGGCGAAAGCCUGACGGAGCAACGCCACGUGAGUGAAGAAGGUCUUCGGAUCGUAAAGCUCUGUUAUUAGGGAAGCGGUACCUAAACAGAAAGCACCGGCUAACUACGUGCCAGCAGCCGCGGUAAUAC
rnacentral:rRNA from 1 species